CAGAUUUUUACCUUCUUCAGUCGGAGCUUCAGGAGCUUCCUGGUUCUGAGGAGAGCUGGUGUGAGGAGCGCUGGGUUUAUCCUUCAGUCCUGGGGGUUUACAGACACGUCUCACUCCAGACCAGAGUUUUACUGAUACCUCUCGUCUUCAUCACCUCACCCGGCGUCUCAUCUGGUUCAUCACACAACAAAGUACAGAAAUCAACAUCAGAAACUAAUCAAUCAGCAUCACACCAUCAUCAUCACACCAUCACACCAUCAUCACUCCAUCAUCAGUCCAUCAAAACAUAAUCACACCAUCAUCACUCCAUCACACCAUCAUCACUCUAUCAUCACACCAUCAUCGCUCCAUCACACCAUCACACCAUCAUCACUCUAUCAUCACUCCAUCAUCACACCAUCAUCACUCCAUCACACCAUCAUCACAUCAUCGCUCCAUCAUCACUCCAUCAUCACUCCACACCAUCAUCAGUCCAUCAUCACUCCACACCAUCAUCGCUCCAUCAUCAGUCCAUCAAAACAUCAUCACACCAUCAUCACUCCAUCAUCACUCCACACCAUCAUCGCUCCAUCAUCAGUCCAUCAAAACAUAAUCACACCAUCAUCGCUCCAUCAUCACACCAUCAUCACUCCAUCACACCAUCAUCACUCCAUCACACCAUCAUCACUCCAUCAUCACUCCACACCAUCAUCGCUCCAUCAUCAGUCCAUCAAAACAUAAUCACACCAUCAUCGCUCCAUCAUCACACCAUCAUCACUCCAUCACACCAUCAUCACAUCAUCGCUCCAUCAUCACUCCAUCAUCACUCCACACCAUCAUCAGUCCAUCAAAACAUCAUCACUCCAUCAUCACUCCAUCAUCACUCCACACCAUCAUCAGUCCAUCAAAACAUCAUCACUCCAUCAUCACUCCAUCAUCACUCCAUCAUCACUCCACA